rnacentral:rRNA from 1 species
AAGACCUUGCACUUUCGGAGCGGCCGAUGUCUGAUUAGCUAGUUGGUGGGGUAAUGGCCUACCAAAGCUUCGAUCAGUAGCUGGUCUGAGAGGACGGCCAGCCACACUGGGACUGAGACACGGCCCAGACUCCUACGGGAGGCAGCAGUGGGGAAUUUUGGACAAUGGGCGCAAGCCUGAUCCAGCCAUGCCGCGUGAGUGAAGAAGGCCUUCGGGUUGUAAAGCUCUUUCAGCCGGGAAGAAAAGGUUGCGACUAAUAAUCGCAAUCCAUGACGGUACCGAAAGAAGAAGCACCGGCUAACUACGUGCCAGCAGCCGCGGUAAUACGUAGGGUGCGAGCGUUAAUCGGAAUUACUGGGCGUAAAGGGUGCGCAGGCGGUUUUGUAAGUCAGAUGUGAAAUCCCCGGGCUUAACCUGGGAACU